ACGCUCGACACCUACGGGGGGCAGCAGUGGGGAAUAUUGCACAAUGGGGGAAACCCUGAUGCAGCGACGCCGCGUGGAGGAAGAAGGUCUUCGGAUUGUAAACUCCUGUUGUUGGGGAAAAAGNGGAUGGUACCCAACAAGGAAGUGACGGCUAACUACGUGCCGANNCGCCGGAGUAUNGNGGCGGNGNGAGAG
rnacentral:rRNA from 1 species